UCUGGCUCCGAAUCUCAAUCGGAAAAAAUGACGAUAACAACGAAAUCCAACUCGACCGUUGCGCUAAAACGAGCUGUCCCAUUUGGUUUUUCCUUACGGGGUAUCUAUAACACACUGACUGUAAAGCAGAAGAUUGAUAUCUGGACUGUGUUAAAUGUUGUCAAAGAAAAUAUUGAGAGAAGCUUCCGUUAAACAGAUAUUACAUGAAGCAGAUUUAGAUGGAGACGAUCAACUAUCUUUUGCCGAAUUCGAAAACGUCAUGUCUAAAGCUUUAGAUUUUCUUAGAGUAUUUCGUAUUCGAUUGUAAUUUCAGCAGAAUCAUGGAUGUUUAAAAACAUUGAAUAUGGUUGAUUCACAAGGUGCUUUACAGUACAAUGUAUCAUAUAAUAACUUCCACUUUGAACAUUUUAGCAUGAUCUAAUUAAUGGCUAAUGGAAACAGCAAAGCAUAAUUAUUUAACAUUUAUAAAAUAUUUUCGUACAUAACUGUAUUACUGUUGCAGGUAGCGAACCUGCAACAGUAACCUGCAACGCGUGUUUAUAUAACUCUACAGAAUAUUGGAAAUGCUUUUCUAUUUCUUAAAUGUAACAUAUUCAUUCAACAAGAACAUUUCAAACUGUUUUAAUCUUUGCUACUAGCGUGCUAGUCUGAUGUUAUAACAAAAGAUGCUAAACUACUCAUAUCAAUUUUUCACCGCCAGCAAUAUAAGUUUAUAUGAGACCCAGAAUGUAGCGUUAUAUGAACUGAGACAUUUGUGCACAUUGAAUUAUCAUUUAAUACUUUAUAACGCUAUUAUUCCUAUGAAGAAGUAGUUCUCAAAUUCUUAUAUUAUCAUUCUAAUGAUAUACAUCAAUAAAACUGCAACGCAAA